UUGUCUUUGUGUACGUUGUAUUUUUGUUUAGUUCCACAUUUUUUUUAUUUCCUCUUUCCCCAUCCAACGAUCCAAAACUAAUCCCCAAAACCAGAGGCCCAUUUGACCCAAGAGAAAAGAAAAACCAGCCGGAGGCCAUACUGUUCGUUCUGAUCGACGUUGAACUUAGGAGUACGCUUUCUCACUCCUCUCAAAUGGGAGCUCACAAUUCGUUAUCUUUUGUCACUGUCAAUGUACUUUGGAGGGAAUUUGUGUGGGGAGCUAUUGUUGUGGCAUAUAGGGAAGGAAUGAUGCAUCCUGUUGAGACCAUAAAUACGCGUAUUUGGAGCCAUGCUAAAGAUGUUGUAGAUGUAAUAUUCAUGGCUAAUGGGUGAAGCUCAAACGUUUGAAAAUUCAGACGUACCAUAUUUUGAUCAUUGGUGGUAUGCAUAUCUUGCCACUCCGUUAGAUGUGAUCAUGUGAUCAAAAUAAGAUUUCAACUGCAGGGUAAGACCUUGAGGUAUCAAUUCUGUUUUUUGGAUACUUUUAUCGUUAUUUUCAGAUGAAUUUCAGUUGUCAGUGUAAGACUAAAUUUGCUGCAAGCAUCACAUGCUGUAUUGUGAUGUUAGUGUACUUAAUUUCACCUGAACAAGGCUUGGCACUUGUAUGCAGUCAGCUGUUGGGCGUGUCAAUACUGAUCACAUAGGUGCACAGAGACAAACACCAGUUAUCCUUACAAUUCAUUGAGUGGUUUUUUACAAUUCUAUAGCUGUUUUAUCAAUGUGCCAUUUUCCAAGUUAUUUCAUUCUUUCUGAUAUGGAACUCAUUGUUGUUGCAUCCUGGAUUUCAUCUUCAUGGUCUGCCCUCAUUGGUGUGUUAUGCAAUAGUAGUGGUAGACUGAGAGUAAAUAGCUUCUUUUCGUUGAGUAUCUUAUGGUUGUAGCUAUUAUCUCCUGCGGUAUGAUGCAGCUAUUCUUCAUACUUCAUUUGCAAGGCUUCUGGGUCACCCCAAAGCAUCUUCUACUGUAGUACAUCUAAAGACUCUUUGAGUACAAUUAGUAGCCGAUUCAUUGCUGUGUCACACGAAUUAUUUUAAUAUUGCAGUUGCAACCUAUUAGGUGAUCUGCAGGAAAUGUUAAUUCUUGAUCUUUCUUAUACUCUUCAAAGAAUCUAGGCUUGUUUUCCAAUUUCUUUUCAAUUUUCAUAUAUAGUAUAUGUAUGACUACUUUUCAUAUUUGAUGGAAUUUGACAAUCCUUGAUAAGGUCCAUAACAUUCAUCAAUUAGAGUUGAAGGAACGUGUCAGCUGUUGUGCACGUCCACACUGAUCACAUAGGUAGGAAUGGCUGGUUGCAUGCAAUUUGUUGCAUAUAGAAGGCUGAUGAUGCAUAGGGGAUGUUCAGAGGUAGCAUUCCCAGGAUUGGAGAGUUUAGUCUAGCUUCAGCUCUUCACUUUACGGCUAUUGAAUUUUCUCAGAGAUCAUUUCAAUGAAGGAUUGAGCAAUGACAACACGCAAGAAGUUGCUAGCAUGUCAGUGGAGGAAAUACUGGGGAAUUUUCAUGAAUCCAAAAAAUAAUUUGGACAAGACUUUUAAUAAUGUUUUCUUGUAAUAUGUAAUAUGUUAGGCAUAUAAUGAUAUUGAGGAGGAGGUUUUUGGUAUUGCAUUUUUCUUUUGC